CCAAUAGCGUAUAUUAAAGUUGUUGCAGUUAAAAAGCUCGUAGUUGAAUUUCGGGAUCAAUAUGUCGGUCGUGCCUUCGGUACGUACUGGUAUCAUUGGUCUCUCCUUUCUGACGAACCAUGAUGUCAUUAAUUUGGUGUUAUGGGGAGUUAGGACUGUUACUUUGAAAAAAUUAGAGUGUUUAAAGCAGGCUUUAGCUUGAAUACAUUAGCAUGGAAUAAUGAAAUAGGACGAUCGAACCUAUUUUGUUGGUUUCUAGGAUCAACGUAAUGAUUAAUAGGGAAUAGUUGGGGGCAUUAGUAUUCAAUUGUCAGAGGUGAAAUUCUUGGAUUUAUUGAAGACUAACUACUGCGAAAGCAUUUGCCAAGGAUGUUUUCAUUAAUCAAGAACGAAAGUUAGGGGAUCGAAGACGAUCAGAUACCGUCGUAGUCUUAACCAUAAACUAUGCCGACUAGGGAUCGGAUGAUGUUAAUUUUUUAAUGACUCAUUCGGCGCCUUACG
rnacentral:rRNA from 1 species